CCAUUGGUUUUAUUUAAAACCACAUAUAUUAUAUAUGUUUUCGUGG
rfam:Hordeum vulgare subsp. vulgare, WGS project CAJW01000000 data, contig: morex_contig_163193